AGAGCUGCUGAUGAAGAAACACCCCGCGCAGAUCUCUUUCUCCAGCUUUUCAUUUUAUUUGUUUUCUUCAUGUACCCAAAGAAGAGUUACAGCAGGGAUACAGCUUUCUUCACACCCUUUCUUACUCACUUUAGUAAGUCCACCAGGAAACGAAGUGCGGCAUGUCCUGGCCACACAAAUCCCUGCACACACACAGCUGCAGCUUUUGAUUUCAAUGCGAGGGUAAAUUGGCUUCAUCUCAUCAUGGGAAGACUCUUUUUAAGCCCAGAAACAGCUCUCCACACUUUUUCCCUCCUAGGGUGCACCCGAAGGAAAAUAAGCAGUCAUCUGUAAUCAUAUGGCUAAUGAGGGGUAUUGAUUAAUGAGGCAGAGGGAGGCAGGACCAGGCACAGCCCGUGCCAGGCAGGAAGGGGCUGAGCACAGACCCGUAGGGAUGGUUUUUGAGGUGGGAGACUGCAAGGUGAGACGGGGGCAGAGGACUUCCCAGGAGGUGCUGCCAGCCCCUGUAUCUGAGGAAUCAAGCUGAGAAGGCAGUGAGAAGCAGGUGUGAACAUUUUUCUGCCUGCCUGGGGAAGAGUUUGGAGAUGGGAAGCUGGGCCAGUGCGGACAAAGGGAUGCUUCUGCAUUUACUGCCUCUCUCCCCCUGUGUGCUGCCUCCAGGCCACCCGAGCUGAACGCUCACAGCUUGCACUGAAGUGUUGGAGAACUGAAAGGGCCUGAGGCUGUGCUGGCUGGUCCCUGGCAUCUUGCAUUUCAAAUGCCCUCAAAAUGAUGGAUUUGAUGCUUCCUCUUUUAUUUAUUACAUUUAAAGCAUUUUUGCCAGGGGGGGUAGCUCAAGAGAAGACACAGCUUAUUUUCCUGAGGAUCCCAGGGGCCGGGCUCUCUGGCAGCUGCCUGCAAAGCAAAAGGCAGGAGCCCACCAGCAGCCAGGCGUGCAGCAAUCUGCUCUCCUGGGGGGGCAGAGAGGGGCCAGGGGCAAGGCAGGGAGGAAAGGUCCACCUGGCUCAGGAGCAGGAGGCAGGCAGCCAGCAGGGAGUCAUUUGCAGAGCUUUCCUCCCGGCCGCUGGGCAGCGAUUAUCGAUGCCACGCAGCUGUAAAUGUUCUCUCGGCGGCUGGGACCUGGGAGCGGAGAGUGCGGCUCAGCUGAGUGUGUUAUUGGAUUAGCAGCUGAUUAGAGCUGUUAAGAGUCCACUCUUGAAUAAUCAACAUGGUGCUUUUUGGCUGCUGUGCGGUGGUGGGAGGGGGAAGGAGGCAGAGCAGCCAGGCUGGCUGCUGUUGGUUUGUAGCUAAGCCCUGGGCAUUGCUAUCAGCAAGCCCUGCUCAGAGGACAGAUGUGGUGCCCACCUUCCCCAGGUCCAGGGCGUUAAAUCUCCACACUGAUGGGAUGUCGGUUUGCAGGGGGACCCCUUCUUUCCCUGACAGAUAUUUCAGACCAUGACAUUUCCUACCAGCAGGGUUAGGAUCUGAAGAUUCUUAACCCUAUGGGAAGAGAGCCAUGCAGCUUGAUGGUGUGCUGAGUCUUGUGGUGGGCUCGAUCCAUUGUGAACCAGGGUAAGAACGUAGCGCACUGGAGACUAAGGCUGUUUGGUUUUGGUGCUGGAAAAGUCAAGUGGAGGAGGUCCAGGUCUUGUAGGGGGAUGGAAGAGCUGACUCCCUCUACUGAGCUAACACAACGGGUGGAGAUGGUGUGGGCAUGUUGGGUCCCCCUGCUUGUAAAGGGGACUCACUGGGCAGGGCGAAAAGGGCAGGGGAGCUCUUCUGGUGAAGAGUUCUUCUAAGUGCCAGUGAGAUCAAAAGCUUAGCAGGGGCUUACGGUGUUGUGCUUUAGUGUAUUCCUAUAGAGACGAGGCAAGGCAGAGGCUGAAGGAUGAAGCUGAGCUAGCGAGGCUGGGCUGGGAAUGCUUUAGAUGAAGAAGGCACAGCGUUCUCCGUCCUUUGCUUCUCCUCCAGACUGAUGCCCAGCAGCGUGUGGCCAUAACUUCCCCUGGAGAAGCUUCCUACAGCCACCUUGCGGCAGGAGCCCUCCUGCUCUCCUUUGAUGUGUCGGUUUGCUCCCCGGGGCUGAGUCCUCCUGGUCUGGAGAGCUCAAUUCACCACCAGCUUCACGCACCCUGCUUUUCCCCUCAGUCAUAGCACUCUUGUUCCCACUAAAAUCAAUGGCAUGGCAACUGUGUGAGCAAGGGGAGAAUUUGAUAUCACAAGGAAUAACAAAUCACAGGCAUAUCAAGUGUGCCCUGAUAUCCAAGGGCACGGAGCAGCAAGGACCAAGGAGAUCCCUUGCUCACUCUUUCCCUCCCUCUGCCUGUCUCCGAGGAUCAGUAUUCUCCUUCCAGAGACCUGUAGGGGUCACAGUUGGAUUGUACAACAUGCUGUGAGCCCGUCCUUGGGAAGGGAAACCAUUCCUGCUGAAGUAUUGACCAGAAAGCCAGCAGGACACCAAGUGCCCUCUGCACACAGGCCACUGCCUCAAACCCCACUCAGCAGUGGGCUCCUACCCAUCUUCUGCCUAUUUCUGACACUAAGGCCCAGAUGUCUCCCAUGGGAUGUGUUUCUUAGCUUCAACGUAGUGAAACCAAACGUGUUGCAGGUUGGAAAGAGCCAGUCUCAAGUCCAUGCACAGGAGGGUGUGAGGAACCAAGAUUUUAUUGGGACAGUUCUAUAAUGGAGAGGAAAGAGGAGAAGUGAUGCUUUAGAUAACGUGAUUUAUACCUGCACAGCCCUAUCAAGGGAAGGGAGAGGGACCUAAUUAGUAACUCGGAACCUAAUUAAAAAGGCUCAAGCCGAAGACUUCUGUCUGUGUCCAGGUUUCUUGUUCAUAUGAAUACUGGUGGACCAUCAAGAUUGGUGUGAAGGGGCUUUGCUUCCUGCUUGUCUAACCUGAUCUUACUCAAAACCAUGUGGUACAAACCUCAAAAAACAAAAUCCAGGUGACAGAACUUGAAGAACGUCAGGAUAUGGGCAGACCUCCACUGAAGUGAAAUGGAUGUGGCAGCUCCUGAAACCUUAACCUGGUUUCCUCUGGGGUCAUUACUCAUCCCUGCAGUUCCCUCAUGGGACUGUGAAGGUUUAUCUUAGCUUCCAGAUUCAAGCCUCCCAUAACAGAAGUCACAGGACAUGUGCAAGACCAGGCAUCAGUGUGCUGGAUGUAUGACCUGUGCCUGGACAGAUUCCUAUUCCCCACGUGAAAGCGGUUGCCUCAGCAGGGUUUUUCUGCCAUGAUAGCACCAGUCUGGUCCUUCUUCCUUCCACUGGGUAGCAGAAAGUCUUCGUCAGGUGAGCCUGAUCCAGUCUCCAUCAUAAGCAGCAGCCCAGAAACAGCAUCACCCGUCUUCAUUCUCCAAGGUCCCUGUGGACACACACCCACAGGAACUCUCCAGUCACGGUCAGAGAUCCCUUCCCAUGCCUGCACUGCACCACAAAUUAGGAUCUGGCCAUGACGCUCACAAGGAUGGACCCGUUCCACUGUGCGAUAAUUAAAUUGCCUGUAAUUAUGUUCUUGACAAGUGAAAUACAGGCAGUAAAUGAUCCUAACAUUCUUCGCUCCCUCCCUCUUCCCAAGACUCCCCCAGCUGCCCCUCCCCUCUAAAUGCUGAAUUAUUUUACAGUUGAUAGUUCCUUAGAUUUGCCGACCUUUAAAAGCUGAACACUACAUGCCUGUUGAAUUUUAAUCAAUUUAUUUUUUUCAACUGGAAAUGUCAGACUUCUGUACGGAAUUACUUGGUGCCGGCUGAUGUGACAAAGACUCAAAGUUCAGCAUCUGAAGCCGCGGAGGAGCAGAGAGUUGCGUGCAUUAGCACAGAUAAUUUGCAGGAUGUGAAAAUGAGAGCAGGAGUGAGGGAGCAUAUAUUUUUCAUUAGCUUUGGUUUAGAGGGUUCGGGGACCUGCAUUUAUUUCAUCCAGUGAACUCUGGCCUCAUUAAAUCCAGACCGUGGCUGGUAAUGACUGGAAGUAAGAAGCUGUGGAGGCCACUAAAGGGCAGGAGGCAAAGUGAGUUCUUUGCAGGAGCACGGAGAGAACCUCGGUGGAUGGGGGAGCACCAACCUCUGCUGUGUCUGCUCUACGGUACCAAGCACAGGAAGGUGCCAGAGGCCCAAACCAUCCACCAUUCUGCACUGGUGCAGUUUGUUAAUGCACAUUACACCACCUGCUUCAUGCAGCUCCAGAAGAGUCCAGCAAAGCUUCCACUUGCAGUGUAGCUUUCCCAACCUGAGUGCAGGGUUGAUUAAACUUCUCAGUAGCGUUGAGCUUGGCCGGCAUUGCCUGGAAGGAUUAAGCAUUCCCCAGCUGGAGCAAAGCCCUUCCACAAAGAUGGGAGGAGGUUUAGU